AAUAAGUGGUAUUAGAGCACAACAUCUGAUGCCGUGGCUACCACCAAAGUGGUGAUUGUGAGUGUCAUCACAGACCUUGCAUCCGAUCAAGCACGAGAAGUGAAAGUUUGGCAUGAUGUCACUUUUGAUGUUCCUUCUACUCCCAGUUUGAUCGAAGCUCCUCCCGCUCUAACCAACACUCUUUCUACUUCGAUCGAAGUUCUUCCUGCUCUGACCACAGCCUCCUCCGCUCCAGUCUAACUCCUUCAGAUUGACUCAUCC
rnacentral:lncRNA from 1 species